GAUGAACGCUAGCGGCAGGCUUAAUACAUGCAAGUCGAGGGGCAGCAUGAUUGUAGCAAUACAAUUGAUGGCGACCGGCAAACGGGUGCGGAACACGUACACAACCUUCCAACAAGUGGGGGAUAGCCCAGAGAAAUUUGGAUUAAUACCCCGUAACAUAGCGAUGUGGCAUCACAUUGCUAUUAUAGAUUUUUCGCUUGUUGAUGGGUGUGCGGCUGAUUAGAUAGUUGGCGGGGUAACGGCCCACCAAGUCUACGAUCAGUAGCUGAUGUGAGAGCAUGAUCAGCCACACGGGCACUGAGACACGGGCCCGACUCCUACGGGAGGCAGCAGUAAGGAAUAUUGGACAAUGGACGCAAGUCUGAUCCAGCCAUGCCGCGUGAAGGAUUAAGGUCCUCUGGAUUGUAAACUUCUUUUAUAAGGGACGAAAAAAGGCUUUUCUAAGUCGUCUGACGGUACCUUAUGAAUAAGCACCGGCUAACUCCGUGCCAGCCGCCGCGGUAAGAC
rnacentral:rRNA from 1 species